rnacentral:rRNA from 1 species
CCUACGGGUGGCAGCAGUAAGGAAUAUUGGUCAAUGGACGCAAGUCUGAACCAGCCAUGCCGCGUGGAGGAUGAAGGUCCUCUGGAUUGUAAACUUCUUUUAUUUGGGAAGAAACUCCCGAUUUCCAUCGGGAUUGACGGUACCAGAUGAAUAAGCACCGGCUAACUCCGUGCCAGCAGCCGCGGUAAUACGGAGGGUGCAAGCGCACUCCGGAGUCACUGGGCGUAGGUGGUCAGGUAAUGGGCUGGUGAAAUCUCCGGGCUUAACCCGGAAACUGCCAUUGAUACUAUUUGUCUUGAAUACUCUGGAGGUGAGCGGAAUAUGUCAUGUAGCGGUGAAAUGCUUAGAUAUGACAUAGAACACCCAUUGCGAAGGCAGCUCACUACGGAAAUAUUGACGCUGAGGCACGAAAGCGUGGGGAUCAAACAGGAUUAGAUACCCUAGUAGUC